rnacentral:rRNA from 14 species
CACUGGUCAAGUGAUUCCGCGCCGACAAUGUAACGGGGCUCAAGCACACCACCGAAGUCGUAGCAUUCAAACUAUAGGUAGGCCUUCGUGGUCCAGCCGUGUGAAUGGGUAGGAGAGCGUCGUGUGGCGAGCGAAGCGGCGGAGUGAUCCAGCCGUGGACGCCACACGAGUGAGAAUGCAGGCAUGAGUAGCGAAAGACGGGUGAGAAACCCGUCCUCCGGAAGACCAAGGGUUCCAGGGCCAGGCUAAUCCGCCCUGGGUAAGUCGGGACCUAAGGCGAGGCCGACAGGCGUAGUCGAUGGACAACGGGUUGAUAUUCCCG